UCUAUAUGGUAUCAAUGAAUUUUUUUUUUUUUUCCAUUCUCCAAUACUACUCUUAGUCACCAAAAUCCUCAAAAACUGCUCUAAGAGCUUCAAAUUCUCCAGGAGGCUCGUUCUCCUUUCUCAGCUCCUCUAGAUCCACUUCGACUUGAUCUUCAUUAAGCUCGAUCCCAAAAAUAAGCCUGAAAUUGUUGUCGAUGUCCAAAAAUCCCUCAUCGUAGAUAUUCUUCCCAUAACCUAAGGAGCUAAAAUUUCGAAAAGUUUGGCUCAAUCAUCCAAAACUCGCUUUCCAUGAUGGCUCUAUUGUUCUUCCAAUGUCUAAAAGUCUUCUCUAGUAUGAGGGUCGCUUACUUUGAAUUGACCUCGUGUUAAAAAUGAUUGGUGGCAGAUGGAAAAUUUCUUUGAACAGCUAGCAAUCAUCAAUCUUGAGUGGAUAUUCUUUUUUUUUCCUUAAUUGCUUUGUUAAUUAUUUUGAAUUUGUUCGUGGUUCAUGUAACAUCUCAUUUGAGUAAUAUACUAAUUAGAAGGGGGAUGUUGUAUCUUUUUUUUAA